UAUAAGACCAGGCCCGAUUGUAAGUUUUGGCCCAGCAACGGAAUAAACAAAGCAAUAAUAAAACUAUGGACGUCAAAACAGAUCCUAAUUCAACCUAAGGACAGCAGAAAAAGCAGAGACGGAAGUUUCUAGAAUCCAUUAAUGCUGCUGUUGUUUUUGCCCAAUCAACAAAAUGACUUUUCAUCGCCUUGUCACUUCAGCUUUCCUUUCUUCUUCAAGACGCAUACACACUCUCGAGGGAACAUUAAUUUCAACCUUUCCUUACCAGCCCUCAUUCAGAUUUACCCCAUUUCAUCUUCUACCUUCCUGAUCAAUCCGACUCUCCCUCUCUAUCCCUUUCCUCUUGAUCUUCUGCAUAUUCAGGGACUCCCCCAACCAGGCACAUACCUGUGAUUUAUCUGGGAUACUUGACUUGCACUUUUUUAUUAUCGAUAAUGAGUCUCCUUCGAUAAUAAUUUUUUCCCAUUUCCUUUCUAUGUCGAUUUUGGUCGCUUUCCGGCAUGCGAGCGCCUCAGCCGCAAAGGCUGAUGUAAAAUUUGUGUAUUCUUAUUUUUCCUUUUCUUAUUGCUUUGCGAUUAUUCUGGUACCAUUAUCGUCUUCUAUUAUAACAAUUAACAUUGUUAAUAUUUUGGUUAAAAUAUUGACUUAAAUUUUUCUUCAAAA